rnacentral:rRNA from 1 species
GUAUGAAUGGCCACACGAGGGGUUUACUGUCUCUUUGUUCCAAUCCGUGAAAUUGACCUUCCCGUGAAGAGGCGGGAAUAUGACAAUAAGACGAGAAGACCCUAUGGAGCUUUAAUUAACCGACCCAAAGAGAUCUUGAUAAUCAACCGACAGGGAUAACAUACCUCUACCAUGGGCCGACAAUUUAGGUUGGGGUGACCUCGGAGAAUAAAACAACCUCCGAGUGAUUUAAAUCUAGACUAACUAGUCGAAAGUACUACAUCACUUAUUGAUCCAAAAACUUGAUCAACGGAACAAGUUACCCUAGGGAUAACAGCGCAAUCCUAUUUUAGAGUCCAUAUCGACAAUAGGGUUUACGACCUCCAUGUUGGA